rnacentral:rRNA from 1 species
UACGGAAGGCAGCAGUGGGGAAUAUUGCACAAUGGGCGAAAGCCUGAUGCAGCUAUGCCGCGUGUAUGAAGAAGGCCUUAGGGUUGUAAAGUACUUUCAGCAGGGAGGAAAGAAAUAAAACUAAUAAUUUUAUUUUGUGACGUUACCUGAAGAAGAAGCACCGGCUAACUCCGUGCCAGCAGCCGCGGUAAUACGGAGGGUGCAAGCGUUAAUCAGAAUUACUGGGCGUAAAGAGCGCGUAGGUGGUUUUUUUAAGUCAGAUGUGAAAUCCCUAGGCUUAACCUAGGAACUGCAUUUUGAAACUGAAAACUAGAGUAUCGUAGAGGGAGGUAGAAUUCUAGGUGUAGCGGUGAAAUGCGUAGAUAUCUGGAGGAUACCUGUGGCGAAAGCGGCCUCUAAACGAAUACUGACACUGAGGUGCGAAAGCGUGGGGAGCAAACAGGGAUUAGAUACC